rnacentral:rRNA from 1 species
GACGAACGCUGGCGGCGUGCUUAACACAUGCAAGUCGAACGAAGAGCGAUGGAAGCUUGCUUCUAUCAAUCUUAGUGGCGAACGGGUGAGCAACGCGUAAUCAACCUGCCCUUCAGAGGGGGACAACAGUUGGAAACGACUGCUAAUACCGCAUACGAUCUAAUCUCGGCAUCGAGGAUAGAUGAAAGGUGGCCUCUACAUGUAAGCUAUCACUGAAGGAGGGGAUUGCGUCUGAUUAGCUAGUUGGAGGGGUAACGGCCCACCAAGGCGAUGAUCAGUAGCCGGUCUGAGAGGAUGAACGGCCACAUUGGGACUGAGACACGGCCCAGACUCCUACGGGAGGCAGCAGUGGGGAAUCUUCCGCAAUGGACGAAAGUCUGACGGAGCAACGCCGCGGGAGGGAUGACGGCCUUCGGGUUGUAAAGCUCUGUUAAUCGGGACGAAAGGCCUUCUUGCGAAUAGUGAGAAGGAUUGACGGUACCGGAAUAGAAAGCCACGGCUAACUACGUG